rnacentral:rRNA from 1 species
AUUGAACGCUGGCGGCAGGCCUAACACAUGCAAGUCGAACGGUAGCACAGAGAGCUUGCUCUCGGGUGACGAGUGGCGGACGGGUGAGUAAUGUCUGGGAAACUGCCCGAUGGAGGGGGAUAACUACUGGAAACGGUAGCUAAUACCGCAUAACGUCGCAAGACCAAAGUGGGGGACCUUCGGGCCUCACACCAUCGGAUGUGCCCAGAUGGGAUUAGCUAGUAGGUGGGGUAAUGGCUCACCUAGGCGACGAUCCAUAGCUGGGCUGAGAGGAUGACCAGCGACACUGGAACUGAGACACGGGCCAGCCUCCUACGGGAGGCAGGAGUGGGGAAUAUUGCACAAUGGGCGCAAGCCUGAUGCAGCCAUGCCGCGUGUAUGAAGAAGGACUUCGGGUUGUAAAGUACUUUCAGCGGGGAGGAAGGCGGUGAAGUUAAUAACUUCACCGAUUGACGUUACCCGCAGAAGAAGCACCGGCUAACUCCGUGCCAGCCGCCGCCGUAA